rnacentral:rRNA from 1 species
GAUGAACGCUGUCUGCGUGCCUAAUACAUGCAAGUCGAGCGAACAGACGAGGCUCUUGCUCCUCUGACGUUAGCGGCGUACGGGUGAUUACCACGUGGCUAACUUACCUAUCUUACUGGGAUAACUUCGGGAAACCGGAUCUACUACCGGAUAAUAUAUUGAACCGCAUGGUUCAAUAGUGAAAGACGGUUUUGCUUUCACUUAUAUAUGGUUCCGCGUCGCAUUAGCUAUUUGGUAAGGUAACCGCUUACCAAGGCCACGAUGCGUAGCCGGCAUGAGAGAGUGAUCGGCCACACAGGAAGUGAGACACGGUCAAGAAUCAGACGAGAAGCAGAAGUAGGGAAUAGGCCGCAAUGGGAAAGAGCAUGACGAAGAAACGCCGCGUGAGUGAUGAAGGUCAACGGAUCGUAAAGCUCUGUUAUGAGGGAAGAACAAAUGUGUAAGUAAAGAAGAACGUAAUGACGGUACCUAAACAGAAAGCGACGGAUAACUAC